CUGUUUAAAGAAACUAUUUGUCUCAACUUUCUGUUGCAGUAAGCAAAGAACUCGGUGGAAUUUCAUCAGCAAGUUCCAACAAGAAACAGACACAUCAGGUCAGAAAUUAGAAAGAAAUACUUUCUUCAUGGAAGAGCAAACAAGGGGUGUUGAAAUUAUAUCACGAUAAAGUGGAUGGCCUUUCCAGCUGCCAGUUCAACUACAGUCUGUAGGCCAAACUGCACAAAUCACAGACGACAACAUAUGGACACAUACAAUUGUUGUUGAGAUAAGGAAAAGGGUAACUUACAAGAUGAGUUAUCACAAAUAAAACAUUA